CCCGUCACGCCAUGGAAGUCGGUAGCACCCGAAGUCGCUGGUCUAAUCCCGCGCAAGCGGGAAAGAAGGCGCCUAAGGUGAGAUCGAUGACUGGGGCG
rnacentral:rRNA from 1 species